rnacentral:rRNA from 1 species
UACGUAGGGGGCAAGCGUUGUCCGGAUUUAUUGGGCGUAAAGAGCGUGUAGGCGGUUAGGUAGGUCCGUUGUGAAAACUCGAGGCUCAACCUCGAGACGCCGAUGGAAACCCCCUAACUAGAGUCCGGAAGAGGAGAGUGGAAUUCCUGGUGUAGCGGUGAAAUGCGCAGAUAUCAGGAAGAACACCCGUGGCGAAAGCGGCUCUCUGGAACGGUACUGACGCUGAGACGCGAAAGCGUGGGGAGCGAACAGG